AAAGUGGUGACCCAGCCUCUGUGAUCUCCCUACUUAGGAGAGUGACGUCUUUCCAGCGCAAAUUUCAGUUUGAUUCUCACUGAGGAUAUGAGGUUUGAGCUUCUUCUUCCCGGUCUACAACUGCUGUGGUUGACCACUGCAAUUCUUUGGAGGACAGAUACCAGGAAGGUGCCAGGUCCCAUCUGCAUCAAGCAAAGAUAGCAGAAUUGUUAGAACAUAACCUGAAAUGUGGGAGAUGGAGGCAUGAAGGGGCCAUUAACAUCUCACAGUAGAACAUUACCACACAAAUAUCUAUAUGGCCUCCCGGAUUAGAACCGGAACUAAAUUUUUGCAACACAGAUUGCUAUAGAUUAGAAUCCAUUCAUCUCCCAGACAUGAGCACAGAACACACACCUCCACCAUUGCAUCACCUCAUCUAGACUAUCCAGUCUGUACACUACA